GAUGUGUCAUAGUGGCAUGCCAUGAUUGUAUGAUUCACUUUCUUCUGGGCAUGUAUAUCAACUGCAUAUAACCAUACUUUUGUGAAAACA